GGUUCCAUAGCUCAGCUGGAUAGAGCAUUCCCCUUCUAAGGGAAUGGUCGCUGGUUCGAAUCCAGCUGGGACCACCA
rnacentral:tRNA from 1 species